ACUAAACUUCAUGACUGACUGACUGAUGUACUUACUAAACUUCCUGACUGACUGACUGAUGUACUUACUAAACUUCUUGACUGACUGACUGAUGUACUUACUAAACUUCUUGACUGACUGACUGAUGUACUUACUAAACUUCCUGACUGACUGACUGAUGUACUUACUAAACUUCUUGACUGACUGACUGAUGUACUUACUAAACUUCUUGACUGACUGACUGAUGUACUUACUAAACUUCAUGACUGACUGACUGAUGUACUUACUAAACUUCUUGACUGACUGACUGAUGUACUUACUAAACUUCCUGACUGACUGACUGAUGUACUUACUAAACUUCUUGACUGACUGACUGACUGAUGUACUUACUAAACUUCAUGACUGACUGACUGAUGUACUUACUAAACUUCUUGACUGACUGACUGAUGUACUUACUAAACUUCUUGACUGACUGACUGAUGUACUUACUAAACUUCAUGACUGACUGACUGAUGUACUUACUAAACUUCUUGACUGACUGACUGAUGUACUUACUAAACUUCUUGACUGACUGACUGACUGAUGUACUUACUAAACUUCUUGACUGACUGACUGACUGAUGUACUUACUAAACUUCAUGACUGACUGACUGAUGUACUUACUAAACUUCUUGACUGACUGACUGAUGUACUUACUAAACUUCUUGACUGACUGACUGAUGUACUUACUAAACUUCUUGACUGACUGACUGAUGUACUUACUAAACUUCUUGACUGACUGAUGUACUUACUGAACUUCAUGACUGACUGACUGACCCACUAACUAAACUUCUUGACUGACUGAUGUACUAACUGAACUUCUUGACUGACUGACUGAUGCACUUACUAAACUUCUUGACUGACUGAUGCACUAACUGACCUUCCUGACUGACUGAUGUACCAACUAAACUUCCUGACUGACUUAUGUAUACUUACUGAACUUCUUGACUGACUGACUGAUCCACUAACUAAACUUGACAGACUGACUGAUGAUGUACUUACCAAACUUCUCGACUGACUAACUGAACUGCACUAACUCAAACUGCUUCUUGAAAUGGCAGAAACUGAAAUGUCUUAGUGAGGAAGAGCUUGGAAUACAGCAAUUGGGUAGCUUAGCAGAACACUGACAGACUGGCAAAUUGAUUGACUGACUGGCCGAUUGAUUAAGUGAGCAGACUGACUGAACCUUGUGUGUGUAUCCCUGGCCUAUCCCAUCACCCUACUCCAUCCCCCUGAGCAAGCCCCCUUCACUUCAAUCUCUUCAGGGCACACUAGACCACUGCCUUCACAAGCACUAGCAGCAGAAACAUUGUAAAAGAAGUGUUAGUUAUAGAAGUAGCAUAGUCUCGGCAAAUAUAUAACAACACAGAUAUGAUACAUUAUUAUUUUUUUUUUUUUACAACAGACAGCUCAAGGGCACUAAAAAGGAAACAAUAAUAAAAAAAGACCACUACUCGCUGCUCCUAUAAAUAAUCCAAAGAGGGGUCAAUUUCAGGAGGAGAGAUGACCUGAUACUCUUCCCAGCAUUCUACUUUUACUUUUUUUUCUUCUUCAAGCAACCAUCUUUACUAUAUUUGUUCCCCUUUUUAACCCGGUAGCAGCGACGGGACAAAUUUGUGGCUUUACCAUGUAGCAGCGACGGGCCAAAUUUGUGGCUUUACCGUGUAGCAGCAACGGGCCAAAUUUGUGGCUUUACUGUGUAGCAGCGACGGGCCAAAUUUGUGCCAUGAUUUUAACCCCCCAAAAUAGAUGAUACAUAAACUGAUCACAAAUGCUUUGAUAUAUAUUAUGAAAUGGUUUGUGUGAGGGGUGAUUUUUUUCUCAUUUUUCUCGCUAAGAGGGACCAUUAAGAAUCAUGAUCCCCACAGCUACCGGGUUAAGCAUUAAAAAAAUAAAUCUACCUUUUUUUCUUACGUUACACUCUUGAAAAAAUACACCCUUCGGAAAGUCACAGUCCAUACGAGUCAACAAUUAGCGCUAUUACACCUCAGGGAUUGUUUUCUUAUGUAAGUCUUGACGCGAGAAAGAAGGAAAACGAAUAAAAUGAGGUGAUGUGAGUGUAAUGUUAAUGAGUUGGUCCUUGUGUGAGAAAAAUGGACAAAGGACAGAAUGAGGUGAUCUUGCAAGUGAAUGUAAUGUUCGUGAGUCAGUCUUGAUGUGAGAAAGAAGGAAAACGAAUAAAAUGAGGUGAUGUGAGUGACUGUAAUGUUAAUGAGUUGGUCCUGGUGUGAGAAAAAUGGACAAAGGACAGAAUGAGGUGAUCUUGCAAGUGAAUGUAAUGUUCAUGAGCUAGUCUUGAUGUGAGAAAGUCAACCAGAUAGAGUGAGGUGAUUGUGUGAGAGUGUAGAGAAGUGAGCUAAUUCUUGAGCAUGAGAAAGAAGGAAACCAAAUAAAAUGAGGUGAUCGUGUGAGUGAGUGUAGAAAAGCGAGUUAGUUGACGUGAGAAAGAGGGAAACAGAACAAAAUUAGGUGAUCUUGCAAAUGAAUGUAAUGUUAGUUAUGAUACAGUCAAUGUGAGAAAAAAGGAGAUCAGAUAAAAUGAGGUCAUCUUUUGCGUGAGUGUAACAUUGGCGAGUCAUUCUUGGACAUGAAAAAGAAAGAAACAGGACAAAAUCAGGUUAUCUUGCGAAUAAAUGUAAUGUUAGUUAGUCAAUGAGAGAAAGAGGGAAACCAGAUAAAAUGAGGUCAUCUUUUGAGUGAGUGUAACAUUGGCGAGUCAUUCUUGGACAUGAAAAAGAAAGAAACAACAAAAUUACGUGAUCUUGCGAAUAAAUGUAAUGUUAGUUAGUCAAUGAGAGAAAGAGGAAAACCAGAUAAAAUGAGGUCAUCUUUUGAGUGAGUGUAACAUUGGCGAGUCAUUCUUGGAUGCGAAAAAGAAGGAAACUGGACAAAAUUAGGUAAUCUUGCAAAUGAAUGUUAUGUUAGUUAGUCAGUGUGAGAAAGAAGAAAACCAGAUGAAAUGAGUUGAUCUUGUGAGUGAGCGUAACUACACUGGCAAGUUAUUCUUGGACAUGAAAAAGAAAGAAACAGGACAAAAUUACAUGAUCUUGCAAAGGAAUACAGUGUUAGUCAAUUUGAGAAAGAAGGAGACGAGAUAAAAUGAGGUCAUCUUUUAAGUGAGUGUAAUGUUUGUGAAUCAAUCUUAGACGCAAAAAAGAAACGGAACAAAAUGAGGUGAUGGUGUGAGUGGGUGUAAUGUUAGUUAGUCCUGGUGCGAGAAAAAUGGAAGAAGAACAGAAUGAGGUGAUCUUGCAAGUGAAUGUAAUGUUUGUGAGUUAGGGCUGUAUUUUAAGACACCAUUGCUUCUCACAUCAACUAUUUCUAAAGGUCAAAGAGGGGAUCAAUCUGGUUUUCAUGAGUGUUUUUUAAGGUUCAUGGCACAGAAGAAGGGUCAAACUACCACCAGGGUCAUAAAACUACCCCUGGAAAGGCCUACAGCUCCUACGAAAGCCAUGUCAAAUAUGUGAACUUGGGCGACGAAAUGUUUUAAAAUACGACCCUUAGUCUUGAUGCGAGAAAGGAAACCAGAUAGAAUGAAGUGAUUGUGUGAGUAGAGAAGUGAGCUAAUUCUUGGGUACGAGAAAGAAGGAAAUCAGAUAGAGUGAGUGAGUUAGCGAGUUAAUUCUUCCUCCUGCGCUGUGAUACGAGGUUGCCAUAUUCUCCGCUCUGAUAGAAGUGUACUUAACGCCUAUAGUGAAGUGUUGUGUUAGUAUUGCCGUCGCCUGCCGCCCACUCCCUCAAGCUCUACCCUGUUGUUCUUAUUUAUUUAAUGUCCUUAUUUCUCCCUAUGCCCUAACUCUUUUUGUUCCUCGUUUUUCAGAAUUCAAAAACUUUAUCUACCUCUGCUAUGUUUGUUUUUACUUUAUAUUCAGAGUAAUGACGGCCUGUUAAACCCGGUAGCAGCGACGGGCCAAAUUUGUGGCUCUACCGUGUAGCAGCGACGGGCCAAAUUUGUGCCAUGAUAUAAACCCCCAAAAAUAGAUGAUACAUGAACUGAUCACAAAUGCUUUGAUAUAUAUUAUGAAAUGGUUUGUGUGAAUGAUGAUUUUUUCUCAUUUUUCUCGCUUAGAGGGACCAUUAAGAAACAUGAUCCCCCAUGCUAUCGGGUUAAUCUUACCAUCAACUUUUUUUUUCUUUUAUGUAUUUAUAUUUUACACGCAAGUUAUAUUCAGGGUAAUGACGGUGUGUUUAAUCUUACCAUCAUCAACUUUUUUUUCUUUUAUGUAUUUAUUGUUUACACUCAAGGAGGCAGCUCAAAAAAAAAGAAAAAAAGAGGAAACUGUAAAGCCCAUUGGUGCUGUUCCUGCAGGUAGUGGACAGUGAGAGAAUCAUUAUUUUGGGAUUAUUUAAUUGUUUGUGUAAUUUUUCAAGCAAGGACGACAAAAAUAACAUCGUCCAAGCAGUGACAACUCCAGAUAGGGGCUGAGCUUGGGGGAUCAUUAUAGUCCGUUCCAACAACCGCCAAAGGAAGGAUCAGUUCAUGGCAAGAGCUCCCUCAUAACCAGCAAAAGUAAAUAUAUAUGUUUUUUUCUGUGGCCAUAAUUUUCUAAUACCCCAGAGUAAGUAAUUAAGAGCAAACGGACAAAAACAAUGUGAAAAAAAGCCUGCAAAGUGUCAUAAGUCUAACCCCUUGACUGCGGAUUUCCUACAAGAAGACAUCACCAAGCUACAGGAAUGGAACAAAAAGUGGCUGCUACAAUUCAAUGAAGAAAAAUGUAAAGUCCUGCACCUCUGGAAGGGAAAUCCAGCAUACCAAUACUAGAUGGGAAACACUCCACUAUCCAUCACAGAGGCAGAGAAAGACCUGGGGCUAUAUGUUACCAGGCUACCAGUGAAGGCCAAAUCCGUGCCAAUCGCAGCGGACAGGUUAAGUGAAUGCAGGAUACAGCAAAGAGAAGCUAUAGCUGCGUGUGACUGAUUAUAAAAGAAAAAUUAACAACACAACUACAUACUUCAUUCCAUCACGAUAUGCAUGUCAGGAGGUAAAGGAAGGAAGGUUUUGCCAUUGGGUGAUCAUUGCUUUCGUGGGUCGCUGGAACGGACUAGGGUUGGCCGCCAGUGACUAUGGUAGUGUGUGUUGUAGUGGCGUAGAGGCCCAGUGAGGUGUGUGGUGAGGAGGAGGAGGAGGAGGUGAUGUGUGUAGUGAGGAGGAGGAGAAGGAACAGCAGCAGUAUUAGAACAGUAGACAAUAAAAUAUGAUCAUAACUAUACCUUUUUUCUAUACCCAAUGUAAGAAACAGUGUGAAUCAGUGACUUAUUUUCCAUUUCAUCAUUAGCUCAUUUGUAGCAGUCAGGUUAGAUUUAUUACUUAUUUAUUUAUUUAUUUACAGCAGAGGAGGCAGUUAAGGGCAAAAAAAAUAAUAACAGGAAAAAUAAGUGUAAUACGUAGAACAGAAAAAAAAAAAGUUCUCAUUCCUCAGGUUAACCCGGUAGCAGCGAUGGGCCAAAUUUGUGGCUUUACCGUGUAGCAGCGACAGGCCAAAUUUUUGCCAUGAUAUAAACCCCCAAAAAAGAUGAUACAUAAUCUGAUCACAAAUGCGUUGAUAUAUAUUAUGAAAUGGUUUGCGUGAGUGAUGAUUUUUUCUCAUUUUUCUCACUUAGAGGGACCAUUAAGAAACAUGAUCCCCGCAGCUACCGGGUCAAGGAAUGAGUGAGGCGAGGAAAUGUGAAGUAAGAAACAGUAAAAUAUAUAAGUAUCAUAACCUCUUUUUUCUGUAGCCGUAAAGUAACACAGAAAGCAGGGAAUGUAGUGAUAACAAGAAGUAGAAUAUGUAAGUAUCAUAACCUCUUUUAUUGUAGAUGUAUAGUAACAAAGAGAGGAGAAAAUGUACGAGUAACAAGCAAAUAAAUAUCAUGACCUCUCUCUUUUUCUGUGACCAUAGAGUAUCCUAAGUUUAAUUGAAUGCGAGAUACAACAAUGAAAAGUUUAAGUACCAUAAUAUUUUCUCUUUCUGCAGAUGGAGAGUAACUUAAGUAGUAGUGAAUGUAGGGUUAGUAACAUAAAAACUACUGACCAGAAAGUUAAAGAAUCAACAAUCAACAUAGAACAAAAAGGAGAUAAAGAAAAAAAAAUCACAAACCAUACACAUCACAACCCACUACAGAUAAAA